UUUCUGAUAAGUUUCUCCAUUGUGUUAUUGUGGCACUAAGCUAAUGGGAUUGCAUGAUAUGCAAUUUUAGAGCUAAUGCUAGCAGCGUGCAGCUAAAAGUUUCAAGGUAUUGCCAAUAGUUUUUGUUUGAUGCACCUAGUUUUUCCAAGAGAUAAUACUUGAUCUGCCAAUUUUUUUCCAUUUAUGAUGUUUUUUAAUUCGUUGUCUCAUCACUUACCAUUGCUAUUGUCUUCAUGCUACCAAUUUUUAUCUGCCAAUGCAUGAUUCAAAUUAUAUAUGUUUUUCUUCACUAUCUUUGGCCAUCUGUUCUUUUAAUGUUACAUGUAUACAACAGAUCUGAUGUGCAGUGGAUGAAACUAUUACCAACACUACUAGAAAUAGAGUAGUUUCUCAACACAAUUGUCAGCAACAAAACUUUCCUUAACUUCGGAAACUUGCAUAGAACCUUCAACUUCAAUAUUACCACUGUUUUGUAACAACCAACCUUGAUAAUCUACUGCCUUUCAGAGCUUUUGGGAGAUAAAUCAAUAGACUCCUUAACUUUUUCUACUUUCUUCUCUGCAGAAAUGAAGUGUCCAGUAGCAUGGUAUUGUUUUCCCCAAGCUAGUCAAUAUGAACUGUACACGAUUUAGGGAUUUAAAGACACCCCCUUUAUUUUUGAUAUUAACGACUUGAUUUAAAAAGCCAUGAUUGAUCUUAAUGAGUUAAUGUACAUACGCUAUCAUAUUGAAGCUUCAUAUUGAUUAGCUUGGGGAAAACUUCACAUGCAAUGCUGUAGAUGUCCUGGACCUUGUCCUGCAAUUUAUUAUUCAAGGAUGGGAUGAAGGUGUGCUGGGAAUGCAAGUCGGUGAAGUUGCUCGUUUAACAGAUCAAGAUGAUGGUGAAGGAAAAGAAGCCAAGGAUCCAUUAAAUUAGUACAUGUACAACUCGUAAAGCUAUUAAUGAUUUGAAAAGGUCUUGUAAAAGAUAUAUUUCUUUUGUUAUGUUUUUUUUUUUUUUGUAAGGUUUUAAGAAGUUGAUAGUAGACAUUAUUUAAUUGACUUAUUUGUGAUCAAACAAAAUAUUUUAGUGUGUAUUUAAUCAUUAGUUAAUUAAGACAGAUAUUAAUAUUAUUAUAUAUAUAUAUUAUUGGUCAUUUCUACUUAA